GGCCUUGUAGCUCAGCUGGUAGAGCAUGCGCGUACGAAGCGUAGGCGGUGUCCAUGCGUCAGUUCAAAUCCCACCGAGGCCA
rnacentral:tRNA from 1 species